rnacentral:rRNA from 1 species
GCGUGCGCGAUGAAGGCCUUCGGGUUGUAAAGCGCUUUUAAGUGGGAUGAGGAAGGACAGUACCACUAGAAUAAGUCUCGGCUAACUACGUGCCAGCAGCCGCGGUAACACGUAGGAGACGAGCGUUAUCCGGAUUUACUGGGUGUAAAGCGCGUGCAGGCGGUAUGGAAAGUUGGAUGUGAAAGCUCCCGGCUUAACUGGGAGAGGUCGUUCAAAACUACCAAACUAGAGUACAGCAGAGGGGAGUGGAAUUCCGAGUGUAGCGGUAAAAUGCAU